rnacentral:lncRNA from 1 species
AACAUUGGCUUUGUUACUCCCCAGCUGUAUGGCUUUGGGCAAAGCCGCUUCACAUUUCUGAGCAGUAUUAUGAAAUGAGAAUAAUAAUACUUACCUUAUGGAGUUAUUGGCUCCUAACAUUUUAACAGAGAUUCACAGCUAGAAAAACCUUAGACCCGGCAAAGAGUAGCCUGCUAUCGUUCACCCUCCAAGGGCACUCCCAGCCUUCAAACAUACUCCUUCAGGAAAUGAGAUGCUAAACAAAUGGAACCCAUAGAAGGGGCAAUCUCUCUAAAGGUCACCACCUCAGAUGGAGCCUUGAAAGAUAGAAGAGAGAACCUUCCAGGGUGGCCACAUUGCAUGACUAAUGAGCUAACUUCCCCUCAGAGUCAGGGGUCUUAGUAAGUGUUCAAGCCAGAGACCCCUGUGGGCGAUUUCCCACUCUCCUCUUUUUCAAAUGGAGGGUUUUAUUUCAGUUGUCAUUAUCACUUCCUGUAAGUGGUAUAAAGUGAGAUAUGGUUUUCAUUUAAUCCUGGUUUGUUGGACUAGGCGAAGCCGGCCACAUUAGGACCCAACCAAGAAUACUCACAACCUAGAGGUUCUGGAUUAGAGACAUAACUAGUUUACUUAUGAGUUUAGGGUUGUUUUCUCAUCGACUUCUGGGAUGUGGAUAAGCACAUUUUUCUUUUGCGUAUAGCUGCGUUAUUUUGAUAUGCACAUCUCUGAAGAUACGUGCAUGGAGACAGAGAGAGACUGAGGCAGGAAGAGACACAGGGACAAGGGGACAGAGAGAAUUAGGUCAGGCUUGAUAACAUCUUUUGACUCUUUGGAUCAAGGAACAUCUCUAGAUAUACUCACUGACUUUUACAUGAAUCUUAUAUCUUCUCUGUUGCUAAAACCAGAUUAAUCUGAGUUUUGUACCACUUGUAAUUGAACAAGUUCUUAUUAAUUUAUAUGAAAAGAUAUUAUAUCCCCUCAUAAAAAAAAAUACAUAAUUCAACGACACAGAAAUAACCCUCCUUACCUACCAUAUUGACAAAAAUCCAAACUUUUGAUAGUGCCUGGUGGACAAGGUUUGUGAUAAAAGUCAUUCGUGUAUAGGACUGGAGGGAAUGUAAAUUGCUACAAUCCCUAAGUGGGGAGAGAGCUUAGAAAAUCUAUAAAACUUACAAAUGGACCUACUCUUUGACCCAUUAAUUCCACUUCUAUGAAUUUAUUAUAUAUGCAUACUAUAUAUAAUUUGUACCAGAGAAAUAAUAUGUAUAUAUAUAUUUGUACCAGAGGAAGACCAUGGUUAUUCUUUGUUUGCUUCUUCACCCCAUUUUCACUUUUUUUUUUUCAGUAGAGACUAACCUCUCUUGAAUGUGUCACCUAUGUUCCUCUAUCCUCUGAUUUCCUUUUAGGCUGGAUUAAUGUAUGGGUGGGUCAUCAGCAAGAGAUUGGAAGGGAGAGGAAGAGAGAGAUCAAUAUGUAUAUUCCACUGACUCCUGUUUUGGCAAGAGUGAUUCUGGAAGAGAUUUUGUUUCUCUGUCACCACAGCUAAUAUCAGAUGGCCUCUUCCAUGGCUGUGGCUAUCACCAGAGUCUGAUGACAUCAAUUCUUCCCUCUUGUCCCUGUGGGACAAAGUUGGUAACAGAUUUAUGUGGCAGCUAAUCCCAGGGUAUUCACCAUCUCUUUUCAGUUCCCUUAACUCUAUCCAUCUGUGAUGAUUAAUGUAAUGUUUCAAUAUAUCUGGGCACCCUGUGGCCCAGUCAUUUGGUCACACAUUAUUCUGGGUGUUUAUGUGAAGGUGUUUUGGGAUGAAAUUCGUAAUAAGUAGACUGAGAAAAGGGGAUUCCCUCCAUAAUGUGGGUGAGCCUCAUCCAGGCAGCUGAAGGCAUGAGUAGAACACAGAGUUGACCCUCCACCCAGGUGAUAGAGAAUUCUCCUGCUGAAGGUCUUCAAGCUGGAAGAUCAUCUCUUCCUGGUUCUAUAGCACCUCCUGACCUUCAGAUUCAAACUGGGAUAUUGAGUCUACAGAUUGUGAAUUUUCCAGCCUCCAUACUCACUUGAGCCUAUUCCUGGUAGUAAUCUCUCUAUAGAUAGAUAGAUAGAUAGAUAGAUAGAUAGAUAGAUAGAUAGAUAGAUAGAUAGAUAGAUAGAGAUAGAUAGAUAUAUCUAUACUAUAUCUAUAUCUCUAUCUAUCCAUCUAUCUAUCUGUAGAUAUUCUAUUAUUUCGGUUUCUCUGAAUACAUUAUUCUUCUUAAAAUAUUUCCUUCAUUAAAUUCUCUGUAGUUAAACCCCUUGAGUGUGCCAUUUGUUUCUGGAAGUAGAGGGUGGGGCUCUUGACUGAUACACUAAUUGGUAUCAAAAAUGGCUCAAGGAAACAAACCCUCAAAAUGGGAUUCUGGGAUUCCACUGCCCAAAUCUUUGAUAAGCUCACAAAUAGCCUCUCCUAGGGGAAAGCAGGAUAAUUGUAAUCCCUAAUAUGUAGCAAUAUCAUGAUUCCUCAAGAUAUCACUAUUGCAGGAUGCAGCACAAGUGGUUGGCUCAGCAAGAUCGAAUGACUAAAGUGCUUAAUUUCUCUGGCAACAAUGGUGUUUUUAAUUUGUGGCCUGGCUGCUGCUGACUGCCUUAGAGAGCUUACAAAAGGGGGAUGGCAGGGAGAAGUUUAAACCUAAAAACUUGAAACUUUAAGUUGAAAAACAAGAAGAGAAUCAAAAAAAAACUUCAAUGGUGGCCUUAAAAAAAUAUUUUGUAGAGGGCACACAUGACCAAAAAUUAGGUCCAAACACUAGCCAUAUGUCUAACAGAGAAAUAGUGCUUGUUAAAUAUUUACCAUCUCUGGGUAUCUUAUGCAGUUAAGGCACUACUUAAUGAGGGUACCUGUGGUU